rnacentral:rRNA from 1 species
UACGAAGGGGGCUAGCGUUGCUCGGAAUCACUGGGCGUAAAGCGCACGUAGGCGGCUUGUUAAGUCAGGGGUGAAAUCCUGGAGCUCAACUCCAGAACUGCCUUUGAUACUGGCAAGCUUGGAGUCCGGGAGAGGUGAGUGGAACUGCGAGUGUAGAGGUGAAAUUCGUAGAUAUUCGCAAGAACACCAGUGGCGAAGGCGGCUCACUGGCCCGGUACUGACGCUGAGGUGCGAAAGCGUGGGGAGCAAACAGG